GAUCCUGGCUCAGAUUGAACGCUGUCGGCAGGCUUAACACAUGCAAGUCGAACGGUAACAUAAAGAAGCUUGCUUCUUUGAUGACGAGUGGCGGACGGGUGAGUAAUGCUUGGGAAUCUAGCUUAUGGAGGGGGAUAACUACGGGAAACUGUAGCUAAUACCGCGUAGAAUCGAGAGAUGAAAGUGUGGGACCUUCGGGCCACAUGCCAUAGGAUGAGCCCAAGUGGGAUUAGGUAGUUGGUG
rnacentral:rRNA from 1 species